AUAGGUUUUUAUACGACCGCAAAUUUUGAAAAAAUUUUCGUCGUAUAUUGCUAUCACGUUGGCGUCGGCGUCGGCGUCGUCGUCGUCGUCCGGCGUCCGAAUACUUUUAGUUUUCGCACUCUAACUUUAGUAAAAGUGAAUGGAAAUCUAUGAAAUUUUAACACAAGGUUUAUGACCACAAAAGGAAGGUUGGUAUUGAUUUUGGGAGUUUUGGUCCCAACAUUUUAGGAAUUAGGGGCCCAAAAAGGGCCCAAAUAAGCAUUUUCUUGGUUUUCGCACUAUAACUUUAGUUUAAGUUAAUAGAAAUCUAUGAAAUUUUGACACAAGGUUUAUGACCAC
rnacentral:lncRNA from 1 species